rnacentral:rRNA from 1 species
GCCUACGGGAGGCAGCACAAGCGGUGGAGCAUGUGGGCCUACGGGAGGCAGCAGUGGGGAAUAUUGGACAAUGGGCGCAAGCCUGAUCCAGCCAUGCCGCGUGAGUGAUGAAGGCCCUAGGGUUGUAAAGCUCUUUCAGCUGGGAAGAUAAUGACGGUACCAGCAGAAGAAGCCCCGGCUAACUCCGUGCCAGCAGCCGCGGUC